rnacentral:rRNA from 1 species
UUUCCGUAGGUGAACCUGCGGAAGGAUCAUUGUCGACCU